AGCGCGAUGGCUGAGUGGUUAAGGUGUUGGACUUAAGUUCCAAAGGGCGCAAGUCUUGGCGGGUUCGAACAACACUCGCGCUA
rfam:Angiostrongylus cantonensis strain Taiwan genome assembly, scaffold: ACAC_scaffold0003540